rnacentral:tRNA from 1 species
GAGAUCACUCAGCGGCCGCAAGACGCUCUGACUUUUAAUCAGAGAGUCCUGGGUUCGAGUCCCAGCGCGCUCACCA